rnacentral:rRNA from 1 species
GACGUAGGGGGCCAGCGUUGUUCGGAAUUACUGGGUGUAAAGGGUUCGUAGGCGGUGUGGCAAGGUCGGGGAGUGAAAUUUCUGGGCUCAAACUCCAGAGACGUGCUUCCGAAACUGCUGUGCUUGAGGACUGGAGAGGGAGACUGGAAUUUACGGUGUAGCGGUGAAAUGCGUAGAUAUCGUAAGGAAGACCGUGGCGAAGGCGGGUCGCUGGACAGUUCCUGACGCUGAGGCACGGAAGGCCAGGGGAGCAAACGGG